rnacentral:rRNA from 1 species
AUACGUAGGGGGCGAGCGUUGUCCGGAAUGAUUGGGCGUAAAGGGCGCGUAGGCGGCCCGGUAAGUCUGGAGUGAAAGUCCUGUUUUUAAGAUGGGAAUUGCUUUGGAUACUGUCGGGCUUGAGUGCAGGAGAGGUAAGUGGAAUUCCCAGUGUAGCGGUGAAAUGCGUAGAGAUUGGGAGGAACACCAGUGGCGAAGGCGACUUACUGGACUGUAACAGACGCUGAGGCGCGAAAGUGUGGGGAGCGAACAGGAUUAGAUACCUUGGUAGUCCACACUGUAAACGAUGAAUGCUAGGUGUAGGGGGUAUCGACCCCUUCUGUGCCGCAGUCAACACAAUAAGCAUUCCGCCUGGGGAGUACGGCCGCAAGGUUGAAACUCAAAGGAAUUGACGGGG